GUUACUCUUUUCUGCACAGACAAAGGAACAGAAGAAGUGUGUGUAUACAAGGAACAGGUGUACAAAGUUGGAGCCAGCUUCAAGGACAGAUGCAACACUUGCUUCUGUGACACCAAGAACAGAGUUUCGUGCACCAAAGUGCUGUGUCCAACAACCAAUGAGGACAUCGCAAAAUUGAGACUCCACCUCACAAAUGAGAAAAUAGUGACGCUAUCAGCACCAAAGAAAGACUAACAAUUUUGAGGGGUUACUUACCAUGUCAGAGACAAAGGGGACAGGUCCCUUUAGCCUAUGAUAAUAACACAUUUUCAUUCCAAACUAA